CGGUGGGCGUGUCCCACGGUCGCUAGGCGGGGCGCGUGGCCUGGGCGGAGCGAACGGUGUCAGCGGCGGAGCCGGAUGCGGGCGGUACUGCUGCCGCCGCCGCGGCCCUAGGGAUGGGCGGAGCCCCGGCCGCUGGUGCUGGUGGCCGCCGCCGCUGCCGGAACCUGAGCCGGAGCCGCCGCCUCUGCUGUCGCCGCGCUUCGGCUUCGUUGCUUCGCAAGGCGGCGGGAUGCUGGGGAAAGGGGGAGUCGGCGGUGGCGGCGGCACCAAGGCGCCCAAGCCCUCCUUCGUGUCGUACGUACGCCCUGAGGAAAUUCACACAGAUGAAAAGGAAGUAACAGAGAAGGAAGUCACUCUUCACUUGUUGCCAGGUGAACAGCUGCUUUGUGAAGCCAGCACAGUCCUGAAGUAUGUGCAGGAAGAUUCGUGUCAGCGCGGCGUCUAUGGGAGACUCGUGUGCACUGACUUCAAGAUUUCCUUCCUGGGGGACGAGGACUCGGCCCUGGAUAAUGGCGGGGAAGCUCAGUUUAAGAAUAAGAUCAUAGGAGUAAAUGACGUGCCACUGCACUGUGUGGAUCAGAUUUAUGGAGUGUUUGAUGAGAAAAAGAAACCUCUGUUUGGACAACUGAAGAAGUACCCCGAGAAGCUCGUUAUCCAUUGCAAAGACCUGCGGGUGCUCCACUUCUGUCUGAGGUACACAAAGGAGGAGGAAGUCAAAAGGAUCGUCAGUGGCAUAAUCCAUCAUACCCAGAGCCCCAAACUGCUGAAAAGACUGUUUCUGUUCUCCUACGCCGCUGCUGUGCACGGCACUGCCACUGAUUCCAGGAACUGUACUGUAAUGUUUGACACUCCGAAAGACUGGUGUUGGGAGCUGGAGCGGACCAAGGGUAGUGUGAAGUACAGAACAGUGAGUGUGAAUGAAGGCUACCGAGUCUCUGACAGGUUGCCAGCAUACUUCGUUGUCCCCACUCCCCUUCCGGAAGACGAUGUGAGGCGUUUUCAGGGCCAUGGUAUACCAAUCUGGUGUUGGUCCUGUCACAAUGGAAGUGCCCUUUUGAAAAUGUCAGCACUGCCCAAAGAACAGGAUGACGGUGCUUUGCAAGUUCAGAAGAGCUUCUUGGAUGGAAUUUACAAGACUAUCCACAGGCCACCCUACGAGAUGGUUAAAACUGAAGACUUAUCAAGCAACUUCCUGUCCCUGCAGGAGAUCCAGAGUGCAUACUGUAAAUUUAAGCAACUGUUUCUGAUAGAUAACAGUUCGGAAUUUUGGGACACAGACAUAAAAUGGUUUUCUCUCUUAGAAAGCAGCAGCUGGCUUGAUAUAAUCAGACGCUGCCUGAAGAAAGCAAUCGAGAUUACGGAAUGCCUGGAAGCGCAGAACGUGAACGUCCUCCUGUUGGAAGAGAAUGCUUCUGAUCUCUGCUGCCUCCUCUCCUCUCUGGUGCAAGUGAUGAUGGACGCCCACUGUCGAACCAGGACUGGAUUCCAGAGCCUCAUCCAAAAGGAAUGGGUCAUGGGUGGCCACUCUUUCUUGGACCGCUGUAACCAUCUCCACCAGAGUGACAAAGAGGAGGUCCCUAUCUUCCUGCUUUUCUUGGACUGCGUCUGGCAGCUGGUGCACCAGUAUCCCCCAGCAUUUGAGUUCACAGAGACAUACCUGACUGUUUUGUCAGAUAGCCUGUAUAUACCUAUUUUUAGCACCUUCUUCUUCAAUUCACCUCAUCAAAAAGAUACUAACAUGGGAAAACCUGGAUGCACAAAGCAAGCCUUUGACUCUGCUCACCGUGUGGGACUGGUCAGUACAGUUUGAACCCAAAGCACAGACGUUACUUAGAAACCCUCUCUAUGUGGAAAAGCCAAAACUGGACAGAGGCCAGCAGAAAGGAUCACGUUUCAAACAUCAACGACAACUUUCUUUGCCACUUACCCAGUCUAAGUCAUCUCCCAAAAGAGGAUUUUUCAGGGAAGAAACAGAUCAUUUAAUCAAGAACCUCCUAGGCAAGAGAAUUAGUAAACUUAUUAACUCUUCCGAUGACCUCCAGGACAGCUCAAGGGAGUUCUACGACAGCUGGCAUAGCAAGCCCACAGACUACCACGGCCUGUUGUUGCCUCACAUUGAGGGGCCGGAAAUCAAGGUGUGGGCUCAGCGCUAUUUACGUUGGAUUCCAGAAGCCCAAAUCCUGGGUGGUGGCAGAGUGGCCACCAUGGGCAAACUCUUAGAGAUGAUGGAGGAAGUGCAGAGCUUGCAGGAGAAGAUAGAGGCAAGACACCACAGGCAGGAGGCUGUCCAUGCAGAGGCACCCGGCCUGCUCAGGAACUCAGUCCGCCUGUCUUCCUUGUUCCCCUUUGCACUGCUCCAGCGACAUUCGGCCAAGCCUGUCUUACCCACCAGUGGCUGGAAAGCUUUAGGAGGCGAAGAUGACCUGGCCAAACGAGAAGAUGAGUUUGUGGACCUAGGGGACGUGUGACCUGUCUCCUCAGGGACUGUGAAAGAGGCACACUGUAUGGUGGGACAGUUGUUCCCUGGACUGGUGUCACGGUGUUAGCCCAGUGGUGUGAAGGAAAGAGCAGAGGCUUUUGGGAAGAGAGCUUGUUCUCCUUUUCUUCCACAGUUCUGGAAGACAUUCAAUGAAAGCCAUGCCUCUAGUAUGCAUAGGACGGAGUUCCUCCUUGACCUGUCAUAGGAUGGGGUCGUCUCCUGACAUCUGUAUUAUAUGUAUACAGAAUGGCUCACGGCCAGGCUGCUGUGAGAGCUCCCUCCUGUUGUUUCUGUGCCAAGAUAAUUAUGUAGCCAUUCCGAACAAGAGGUAUUCAGGGAUGUGCUUAGACCAUAGCAUAUUCCUUGACUUAAACCAUAGCAUAUUCCAAUGCGUGCGUGUACACACACACACACACACACACACACACACACACACACACACGCAGCCCAUAGAGAACUUGGACAGUUCUGCUGGUGUCAUCCAUCCUAAUGUUCAGCCCCUCCUUCCUGGGCUGUAACAACACAGGAUGCGGGCAGCCUCCUUCCCUUUUCCUUUGCUGUCACUCCCACCUUCCCUUUUCCUGCUCUAUGCAUACCAUCCUAUGAGUCUACCUUGGUGUGCAUCGUCCCAGGGUCCUGCUGCUGUGACCUGUUGAUUAAACUGGGGGCAGUCCUCUGUCUUCCACAGGGGAGCUCAUUCCUGGAGCCCUCAGUUUUGACCACACAUUUGGCCCUCUGCUCACCACACCUGGACUGUGCCUCUCUGCAGCCCCUCAGCUGGUCCCCUUGCCUUCCCCGUUACCCUCACAGAUGCUGGGGUGGGCAGGCCAAUUCGAAUGUGGCUUUCACAGGAAAGCGGUCGUGUCAGAAGCAGUUAUCACUCAUAUAUGCCUCAGCGAUGUCAAAAGCCAUAGAAGAAACCCAGCUCUGCCUAGUCACCUUGGAUCUGCUGUCUUAAAGAUAUAUAUUUUUUUAAUGUUUGAAAGAAUCCUUUGUAAGGCUCAGUCCUAUCAUUCUCAACAGAGCCCUGUUCAGUCCCACAAACGGUGUGAAGAGUGGGAGUGGGCGAGGGACCUCAUUGAGUCUGCCUCAAGUGUUUGCCUUUUAUCUAUAUUUGCUGGUCAGGAGAGGUCCUGUUGAGGGCGUCUCUGUUGCUCAUGGGCAAUAAGACAUUUUGAAACUUCACAAAGAAUCCUUUCUGAUUGCACUGAAUCAUCUUUCAUACAUAAUGAUAAUUUUUCCUCGUCUCCCUCCAUAAUAAUGCACAAUCCGGGUUGGUGUGUUGACCCAGCAAGUUGAGGGGAGGUCAGGAUUUGUGUUUCUGGGGACAAAUGCACUCAGUCUCGGUUGCCUUAAGAGUCUUUCAGGCCAGGUUCGUGCUAGGCUUGCGCUAGGAACUUAGAACACACCAGUCCUUAGCUCCCUCUCCCUGGGCUCCUUGGGCUUCUCUAAACUAGCACUAACCGCCACGCCCUGAGCCUCUGCCACACCCUCAGCCUCUGCCUCCCAAGUCCUCAGCGGAGAGAACUAUUUUUGUUACCAUAUUAUAACGUGAAUGUUUAUAUGGUAGACUCUACAGUCUUAGUGAUUUUCUUUCCAAAAAAUGCCUCUUGUGAUGUUUUGUACUUCACAACGUAUGGUUUAAAGGCACAUGGUCAUGACCCUUGGUAUAGCAGUUGAAUGUGCAUUAAAAUAUUUUUCUAUUUUUUUAAAUCACAAUAGAAAAAGUAAAUAAGCUGUUAUGACCUGUGUGGUUAUGACUUAUGUAUUUAUAUUUGAAGCCAGAUUUCUAUAACUUGGAUUUGUGUACAGAACUUCCCGUGGGUUUAUAUAUUGUGUAUUUUUAUUCAAGAUUGAGAUGUGGAUUAUGCUUAACAUUAAAAGAUACAAUAAGACCAUUUGUUUAAAACACACUGUGCAAGUUUGGAAGUGUCUGUUAAUAAUUUACUGUGUAUAACACUUGCAUUUGUUUAUACCUCUAUGUUUUUACACUGAAGAUAAACUAGCUUUAAUUAAAUUUUAAAAAUUUAAGGGAUUAAGCUAUUAGACUGAGUCAGCUUCACUGUGCAGUUUAUUUUCUGGGUGUUAAUGAAAGUUUAUACAUGUCUCACUGCAUUGGAGCUGACUGCAGAGAUUAAAGCACAACUUUGAAACAGC